UUUAUCCCACAGCAUUAAUGAAUAAGAUGUGUAGAAAAUGAAUCUGUUUAAGUCAUAAGUAAAGGCCUUUCAUAAAGAGGCUGUCAUGAUUGACUGUGGCCCAUAUUUGACACAUAUUGCUUGCUACAUUAGAKCCUAAAACCUAAAUUAUGUUUUGAAAUGCUGUUAAUGAUUCGUAAGUGUCCGUAAGACAAAGACUAGAGAGAGAGAGAGAGAGAGAGCCUUGAGCGCCAACCGCAUGGGCUUUUGUUUUUGAACACACACCCCGCCCCCGUUUUCUUUGUUUUGAAACACACAUACACUCCAGCACACGCACGCACACACACGCUCGCACAUGGCUUUUUCCGAAAGUUUUUUUCUCAGGGACAGACUGAGCUAAGAGUGAACAAACUAGCGAGUUCAGGACAUGAUCCAGAGGUCUGGUGGAGCCAACCCCCAUUAUCCGUGUCCAAGUCACCAUCUAAAUGCUGGGAUCUCUUGCUAGGUUCAUCAAAACUCCGUGACAUAUCAAUAUAUUCGUCUCAAGGAGGACUCCUACCAACAGAGCCUUCGCCCUCUGAGGAAGAGACUGAGCGCCCUGCAGAACAGCAGCACUGUCACCAUCAGACACACCACCAAGGCCCACAACUCUACCGGUCCUGAGCCUGAGAGCCUGUCCUAUUGUGGGAGGCUGGUGAGGUUGUUUGGUGUGGGGCAGGAGGUGCACUUUGUUUGUAAGGCUGGUUGUGAGCUGCUGGAGCCCCAGACCAGAGUGUUACUGGCGUCUCUGAAGUGGAGCAGCCAGCAGCCCACAUGCAGGGUCUUAAACCCCCUGCCGCCCUACCCACGCCCUCCUACCUCUCUUCGUCCUCCCGCGUCACUUCAUCCUCCUCCACAGCUCCUCCCACUGCACGUAUGACACAGGCUUCAGCAUAAGCUGCCGCGACAGCAACAUCUGCACAGACAUUGGCGAGUGUCAGUUGUUCCCACUGGCCCAGCCUGGGCGCCUGUGUACGCACACCUGUAUCAACACCCCUGGUAGCUACCACUGUGUGAGUAGUGCUAAUCUAGGAUCAGUUUUGCUUUUUAGAUCAUAAUGAAUAAUGUUAUAUGGACAGAUCUUAGAUCAGACCAUUCUAUUGGCAAACAUGCAAUCAUUGGAAAGUAAAAUUGAUGACCAACGAGCAAGAUUAAACUACCAAAGGACAUAAAAAACUGUAAUAUCUUAUGUUUCACCGAGUCGUGGCUGAACGAUGACAUGAACAUCAUACAGCUGGCGGGUUUUACACUGUAUCGGCAGGAUAGAACGGCAACCUCUGGUAAGAAAAGCGGUGGCGGUCUAUGUAUAUUUGUAAACAACAGCUGCUGCACGAUAUCUAAGGAAGUCUCAAGGUUUUG